UAGUACGGAUCUAUAAUAUGUCUGGAAGAGGCAAAGGUGGUAAAGGACUCGGGAAAGGAGGCGCCAAGCGGCAUCGCAAAGUGCUCCGUGAUAACAUCCAGGGCAUCACCAAGCCCGCUAUCCGCCGCCUGGCUCGCCGCGGAGGAGUGAAGCGAAUCUCCGGGCUGAUCUAUGAAGAGACCCGCGGGGUGUUGAAGGUGUUCCUGGAGAAUGUGAUCCGGGAUGCCGUCACCUACACUGAGCACGCCAAGAGAAAGACCGUCACCGCUAUGGAUGUGGUGUACGCUCUGAAGCGCCAGGGUCGCACUCUGUACGGAUUCGGAGGUUAAGAAUAUUCAUCGGCUGCAUUUGAACACAAAGGCUCUUUUCAGAGCCACCCACAAUAUCAAGCACGAGUUUAAAUCCGUUUACUAAUCAUUCACUUUCUAUAACAUGAGGAGAUGCUUUUUGGGUUAGGGUGUUAAUUAUAUAUUUAUGCAUGUUGUUUAUAUAUGUAUCUGCGUAAACUCUGAAUUCCAAUGACGUGUGUAUGUAUAAUACGCGUUUUGGAAGUUACUUUGUUUAAAGAAAGUUUGCAUUAAUAAAGUACGGAUAAUGUAUUAACGAGCUGAUUUAAUUAAGGUAGUAUGUUGAUGUAAACUAGGGAAAGAGGUAUUGUUCUAAACUUGAACAGUCUUAAGCAAAAACACUGCUGCUUAACUUUAAUAUUAACAAACUGCUGAUACCGCAGAACUAGCGGUGUGUUCACUGGAAACCCCUUCCAGCUCUCCUAACAGGAGGCUGCCUGUCACCGGGGGAAUGCGCUGCUCAGAUGCGCGGGAUUAUACAGCGGGGGUCGAGGUCGAGUGGGUAAGACGAUGGACUGGGAAUCCAUUGGGGUCUCACCGCGCAGGUUCCAAUCCUGCAGACAACGUCUGUCUUCCAAUUUAAAAAUGCGCGCCAAGAGGAAACAAGACAAACCGCAGCAGAACAGCGCCAAACCAGAAACAGCGGGCAGGGAAUGAUACAACCAAUCAGAGGCAUGCAAUAAGAUUCUGCACGCCCUCAUCCUCUAUGACGUCUUUUAACAUUCUAAAUAGUAUUGCACCGUUCUGUCCAAUCACGAAUGAGCCGGUGUGUAUAAUAGCAGGAGAGCGGCCGCGCAUUUAUUGUUGUGAUAUUCUGAACUACAGUGAAGAUGUCUGGAAGAGGAAAGACUGGCGGUAAAGCCCGUGCUAAAGCAAAGACUCGCUCCUCCAGGGCAGGACUGCAGUUCCCAGUCGGUCGUGUUCACAGGCUACUGCGGAAGGGAAACUAUGCCCAGCGUGUGGGCGCUGGAGCCCCGGUCUAUCUGGCCGCUGUGCUCGAGUAUCUGACUGCUGAAAUCCUGGAGCUGGCCGGGAACGCCGCCCGGGACAACAAGAAAACCAGAAUCAUCCCGCGUCACCUGCAACUCGCUGUCCGCAACGACGAGGAACUCAACAAGCUGAUGGGAGGCGUCACCAUCGCUCAGGGCGGAGUGCUGCCCAACAUCCAGGCCGUGCUGCUGCCCAAGAAAACCGAGAAGCCAGCCAAGAAAUAAAUCACUCGGACGCCGCUUUUACAUCUUAUAAACCCCCAAAGGCUCUUUUAAGAGCCGCC